GUGAGGAAUAUUGCGCAAUAGGCGAAAGCCUGACGCAGCAACGCCGCGUGGAUGAUGAAGGCCUUCGGGUUGUAAAAUCCUUUUCUGGGGGAAGAACAGGACGGUACCCCAGGAAUAAGUGUCGGCUAACUACGUGCCAGCAGCCGCGGUAAAACGUAGGACGCAAGCGUUAUCCGGAUUUACUGGGCGUAAAGCGCGUGCAGGCGGUUGGUUAAGUCGUGCGUGAAAGCUCCCUGGCUCAACCGGGAGAGGUCGUACGAAACUGACUGACUUGAGGGCAGCAGAGGAGCGUGGAAUUCCGGGUGUAGUGGUGAAAUGCGUAGAUAUCCGGAGGAACACCAGUGGCGAAGGCGGCGCUCUGGGCUGUACCUGACGCUAAGACGCGAAAGCAUGGGUAGCGAACGGGAUUAGAAACCCUAGUAGUCC
rnacentral:rRNA from 1 species